AAUACAAAAGACUGGUGAGGUGACGCUGAUCGGUGGCAGAUCUAGUCGGAACUCUGUCUGAAUACUACUGUGGCGGCUGCUGACCUUCAGUACCUCUUGUGAUCCAACUUGAAAAUUUUCCCAAAACUUCAACUUUCCUUCUCCCUAUGGGUACCUAGAGCUUCCUUAUGAUGUGGGCUAAAUUUUUAAUGAAGGGGAACAUGGGUUUUGGUGGAUGGAUAGAGAGGAAUUCAAGCUUGAAGCUUGAAAGAAAAUGGUGAAAGAAGGAACCAAUGUGCAGCCAAAAAGAGAGAGAAGAGGAAGAAGAAGACUUGGUUGGUGGGGUUU
rnacentral:misc_RNA from 1 species